GGGAACUUUUGAUCCGCGGAUAACUGUGUGUUAUGACGUUCUCUCUCUCUCCGUCUCUUUCACUCUCGGUUGAACUAGGAAGAUAUUCUCUGAACUCUUUAUUCAUAUUUCUCAAGUUGGUUGGAGGAAAAUGCAGUCCUUCAGCUGUUACAGAACAAUAUCGAUAUUGGCUACACUGAUAGGAACCUUCAUAGCGACCAUCGGUCAAGGAACAUCUAUUACAAACGACAGAGCCCUGUUUGCUAAGGUUGAUUCAAGAUACCCACAAGAUUUUGGAAAAUGCUCCCUGGCAAAUUACAGUGGAGUUGUUAAUCCCUCACACUGCGCUCACUAUUGUUCCCUCCUUGGAAGAUGCCACCUCUUCUGCAUGACCACAGAUGGAUGUCUGCUGUCUGAGGCCAGAGUAUCACGUCACUGGAAGGGAGUCUCAGGCGCCCCUCCCGCAGCCAUGACAUGUUUUUCCUCUUGGGGGAGUGCUAAUGAUGCUGCGUCAAAUGCAACAAUUUCUGCAACUCCUUAUCACUGGAACAACGAUGGUUUCAAAGAAAUGGCUGUCAAUGGUUACACAUGCUUUCAAGAAAGCGGUUAUACUUAUGCCUCUACAAUAGUACAAAGCCCUUGGUGGUCAGCUAACCUUGGUACUGUCCGCAAAGUUGUCUCUGUACGCGUUUUCACAAGGCAACGAUUGGAUACACUCUCAAAGUUCAAAAAUGUAGAGGUUCGUGUUGGAUAUUCUGACCCUGGAAAUGGCGAUUUCUCUGACAAUACUCUUUUAGGGUUUUAUGAGGGGGAAGCACCACAACAAACAACCAUCUACUUUGUUGCUGACAGACCCAUUAAAGGUUCUGUUGUCUCUAUCCAGAGUUUAGAUUACUAUCAUCUUGUAAUGUCAGAUGUUCAGAUUCUUUAUGUGU